GAUGAACGCUGGCGGCGUGCCUAAUACAUGCAAGUCGAGCGAAUGGAUUAAGAGCUUGCUCUUAUGAAGUUAGCGGCGGACGGGUGAGUAACACGUGGGUAACCUGCCCAUAAGACUGGGAUAACUCCGGGAAACCGGGGCUAAUACCGGAUAACAUUUUGAACCGCAUGGUUCGAAAUUGAAAGGCGGCUUCGGCUGUCACUUAUGGAUGGACCCGCGUCGCAUUAGCUAGUUGGUGAGGUAACGGCUCACCAAGGCAACGAUGCGUAGCCGGACUGAGAGGGUGAUCGGCCACACUGGGACUGAGACACGGCCCAGACUCCUACGGGAUGCAGUAGUAGGGAAUCUUCCGCAAUGGACGAAAGUCUGACGGAGCAACGCCGCGUGAGUGAUGAAGGCUUUCGGGUCGUAAAACUCUGUUGUUAGGGAAGAACAAGUGCUAGUUGAAUAAGCUGGCACCUUGACGGUACCUAACCAGAAAGCCACGGCUAACUACGUGCCAGCCGCCGCAGUAA
rnacentral:rRNA from 1 species